AUAGUCAACAGGUGGAAGCAGCUCGUCUGUCCAUCAUCAGAUGAGUAGAUAAGCAAAAUGCGGUACAUCCAUGUAACAAAAGUGGGAUUGCUGGAUCAUAUGGCAACUCUAUUUUUAGUUUUUUGAGGACCCUCCAAGCUCUUUUCCUUAGUAGUUGCACCAAUUUAUGUAAUAUUUUCUCUUAAAAGAGGCAGUCAUGGGAGAAAAAAUGGUCUUUGCAAAAAAGGUAACACGCAGGACAGGUUAUCUUUUUUGUUUGUUUGUUUUAGAUCAGAGCCCGGACAGUGUCCAUGAUGGAGUGAAAUAUAAACAGCAAUGUAAAGAGUCUUGGGAGGAACUUUCUAAAUACCUAUUAAAGAGAUCGAGGACUGGAGUUUCCUGGUGGCUUAGUGGUUAAGGAUCCAGUGUUGUCACGGCUGUGGUGCAGGUUUGAUCCCUAGCCCAGGAACUUCCACAUGCUGCAGGCACAGCCUAUACACACACACACACACACACACACACACACACACACACACACACACAAAAUAGUCAGUGGGAAUGUGAUUGUUGUCAUGAAACAUCCUUGUCAUGUGAACUCACUCUUGGGCAGGAGUUAGAGCUGUGCACAGUGCAAACAUUUGUGGGCAUUUUUUUUUUUUUCUGUUAUGUCCAAGCAAGAAUCUAAGAUUGUUAUAUUCCCUAUUAAACCAAUUGACUCCUACCAAGCACAGCACUAUAUAACCUUUUAGCCGGAAUGUUUGUCAUCAUAGUAAUAUCAUAUAUAUCUUGUGACAAAUAUUUUUGAAUGAGGACUCAUUUUAAAAAGCAUUAACAUUCUUAUACCCACUUGUACCUAUUUAUAUUCAUAAUUUAAUUCGAAGGUAAGAUUCUCAUUAAAGGAAACCUCGAGAAUUCCCUAGGAAGUACUACAAGUCAUCCCAGAGGUGUUUUUGUUGUUAUUGUUAUUGCUUUAGGAGUUUAUGGGCUACUCUGAUUACUUAUCAGUUAGACAAAAGAGGAAUGUGACUUGUCAACAAAGUCACCUUUUCUCCUUUCCUACCUCAUACUGAUAAGUAAUCAGGUUCAUCUUUGGAAGGAAGAUCCUUAAGCGUUCUGGCCUCCAGCAGUUGAGGUGAAAUUUGGUGAAACUUAGAUUCAUGUCAUUGGAAUUUGCUUUAUUUCUAUCUCCUUGAAUUAUAUUUGCAAUAAAGCCUUUUAUUUUAGAUCUUUGGAUUUUGCACACCUUUGAGGAGGCCCUUCCUCCUGUCGCCCUGCCUCUCUAAUAAGCCCCGAAGAUCAAAUCGAGACCAUGAGAUUCUGAAAUCGGAAAGUUUCUGCCUUUUGCAGCUUUUUUGAUAGGAAUAAAAAUGACUGAUGGCUCUCUCUCCUGGACCCUUUUGUUCGAUUCAACUAUGAUUAUGGAGCCUAUUAGCUGGAGUUACAACCUAUUUAAGAGCAGUGCUUACCCGUAAUGGGGGCCAAAUGAUUUUGGAAAGUUCAGAUGUACUGGACUCCCUGCAGAAAUGAAUUCAGCCCUGAACAUAUUGAUGCAGAACCUGAAUGGGGCUGCUCCGGUGGGACUAAGAGAAUUGUGAGCUCUGCAAGAAAUGAGUGGGUAGUAGAAUUAAAGAUCAGAUAGAUGUUCGGCUCAAGGGCAGUCUCAACUCUGAAGUUCAUCACAGCAAUUUAAUCAGGCUCAAACGAGUGUUGCCCAGAAAAGAAUCAGCCUUGGGUGUGACAGAAAAUAGAGUGUAUUUAAAAGAGUCUUUUGUUUCUGGUAAUUCUGUGCGCUGAGGCUUCCCAGGUAGACACAAAGAUGAGCGAGCUGCUACGUUUGCUAGGGCAUGGCCCGCGGGUUUUACCUUGGUUCAGAAAAUGAAAUCUGGCGAAGAUGUGUACAAGGUCAUGAUCUUAUCCAGAAGGAGCAUGCCACCUCUAAAGUUCCAGCUUUGAAAAUUUUCACAGAUGAAGGAGGCCAGGGACCGCCUUUGGCUGGAGCCAUCUGCUGCCCCCCUCUACUGUGAAAUUGUCUUGAUGUCAAAUGUUUGUGUGUCUUCGGGGAGAGCUGUAGAGCACAGCGGUAAAGAACUUGAGCUUUGGAGGGAGUCGCACCUGGGUUUGACUCCUAGCGCUUCACUUGCCAGCUGUGUGACCUUGAGCAAGUGGCAUCAACUGUCAGACCCAGAGUUUCUUACCUAUGAAGUGAGAAUGAUAAUUCCCACUUCACAGGAUUAUGGUGAGAAGUGAAUUAAAUGAAGCAAUAUAGGGAGUUCCUGAGGUCAUGGCCCAGCAGUAACCUGACUAGUAUCCAUGAGGAUGUGGGUUCGAUCCCUGACCUCGCUCAGUGGGUUAAGGAUCCGGCGUUGAAGUGAGCUGUGGUGUAGGUCCCAGACAUGGUUGGAUCCCGUGUUGCUGUGGCUGUCGUGUAGGCUGGCAGGUACAGUUCCCAUUCAACCCCUAGCCUGGGAACUUCCAUCUACUGUGGAUGUGGUCCUAAAAAGAGAAGCAGUAUGUAUCAGUUUAUCACAGUGUCUGCACAUAAUAUGUGCUCGGUAAAUGGUACAUACUUGAAGCUUUAGGACUCUCAUCAUCUUGUUCCUCCCUCACUUCCCUCUUAUGUACACCCUUCGUAAGCCAGAGAGUUCACUGCUUAGGAGUCAAGGUAGACCUUUGAGAGCAUCUGUACAUUCAGAAGUGGAAACAGAGCAGACUACAAACAUCUGGAGGCUUGGGCAGCUGAUUGGUUAUCAAGAGACCAAACAAAAUCACACCCUCCCCACCCCACACACCAGCACAGUCAGGGUCUGUUAGAUUGCCACAUCAUUAGCCAGUGUUUCAGUUUUACGCAUAUGACAAGAAUCAGUUUUUCUUCUCUGUUCCUCUCCAGCUCUUAAGUUUGUUUACUCAGUAAAGUAUAAGGUAUUUUUGUCUAACUGAUACAGUUUCAAAAGAAUAUAGUAACUAUAUUAGGUGUUUUCCUUUCCACUUCAGGGAUCUCUGUAUGUCUGUAGUCUUGAUUGUAUCCUUACAAUUGUGUCUGUAUCUGUGUGUGUGUGUAGGGGAGGAAGGGAGAAAGAGAGAAUGAAUGAAUAAGAAUGAGAACUGAGAGCCAAAUUAUCAGCUUUAUUGAUUUCUGGGUAAACACCCAGUAAUUCCUAAAAUGCAGGGCACUCAGGCAAAAGCCAGAUUGGAAGGGCUACCAAGAUCCUUUUAAAGUGGAGCCUCCUAAUGGUCUGCCCAUAAUUUAUAGCCUGGGCCCCACAGAGCACUUGCGAGCCAGCUCCAUGGAUCAGGAACGCAGACCCCCCCCUAAUCUGUGCGGCACCUGCAGUCCGGAGAUACACAGGUCUAGAGAAGGGACCGCUUACCGUAAAGAAAUCACACCUACUCUUCAGGUGGCCCAGUGACGGCCGCCUCUGACAUCCAUGGGGAAAUGCAAAAGAGACAGUGAGAGCUGAAGAAAGUUUCUUCUUCUCCCUGGUUAAGGUGAGAAGGUGAGAAGAAGUCCAUAGAAAAGACAUUCCAUACAACAGAUCAUGGCCCACAGUUUGAAAACCUGAAAGAUACAAGUAACAGGACACUUGUGGAUUCCUGGCUUCAUACGAAGAAGAAGAACAUCAUGGUCUAUAUUAGUAUUAAAAUCUACUGUGCAGUUUCUAUCACAGUUACCUAAUGUGGUUAUUUUGCUUAAAUUACUAUUUGUUCAGUGCUUUGAAGAGUCACAGUAACGUCUCAGAACAUGUGUAUAUCAUAUUAACAAACAAACCGUGUCAGUUAAGUGUUUAAAGGCUGUUCUAUUCUGCCACUGGUACAGAGGAACUAUUCAAGGGUAGACUGUUACCUAAAGCUUGGGUUUCAUUGAGGAAGCUCGUGCGGCUGUCUGUUUUAUUUACUGCUCUUUCACCCCACCCCCAAAACCACCACCAACAAACAGAACAAACACCAUAGGAGAGAAAUUGAUUGAUUAAUUGAUUUAGGUUGCCCAUGACCCUUGGGGCUUGCGUUGUUUCAGAAAGUGCACUUCAGCACCAAAAGAGGAUUGCAAAAUCAUAGGAUUUUAGAUCUGAGAGUGAUUUUAGAAAUCACCCCAUUUCACAAAAAGCGUUUGAUUUUUCUCAUGGACUUUGGACUGUGACUUUGAAGAGGGAAGCUCAGUAAAUAUUAUCCUCAGGGUACAGGAUCAAGACCACGACACUUACCGAGUUUAGCUGGUGGAAGUAAUGAACCAUUAUGAGGAGGGCUUUUGUGGAGGAGAAGGAAAGGCAUACAGAAAAGAAUAAAAUAUAGAGAAUUACUUCUUCUGCACCAAACGACUCUACUCUGACAUAUAUCAGCUUUCAGUAUCCCCAUAGAUAUUUUGCUGGAAUUGCUACCUCUUUAAACAUUUAUGCUAUUAAAAAAUCAGACCAAUUGUUGACAUAAACCUAACAUAGCAGCUGCUAUAUAGAUAGAAUAUGAAUUUUUUAUGCUAUUGAGGAGAAGUUUAUGUCAUUUAUGUUCUGUAGUAAGGGUAGAAGAUGGAUUUUGAAUCCUGAAAAAGCUACUGUUGGUACCAUUCAGAAUAUUAGCUGUGCUUUGAAUCAAAAUAUUAAGAUGGCUGUAUUGUCUGUGUGUGUGUGUUUGUGCAAAAUGGUGUAUCUAUGUGUGGAAUGGGAGAAAUUGCUCUACCUAGAGAAAGUAGUGAUAGUUUUCUUUUGUUUCUCUGUGUGUGUGUGUGUGUGUGUAAAAGGAAGAAUUGAUAACAUUUAAUAUUUGAUUUAUCUGCCCUUUCCUUCACCAUCAAAAGGAAUUAACGGUUGCAGUGAUAAAACCAUACUUCAUCUAAUUGAAGGUGCCAUCAGUGGCAAGAUACAACAUUAUUUUAUGUACCGCUAAGAAUAUAUACUGACAAUUAAACUGACAUGCCAUCGAUUUGAAGAUGGAUUUCAGUUUCAGAGAUGUUGAAAUGUGUAAAUAAGGUAUCUUAGAGUUGAUGAAAUGGCAUAUGCAAUUCUCUUGUGAUAUAUUUGUCUGCAUAGACAAAGUGUGCUUGCAUUUGGUUAUAUUCUGUAGCAUUUUGAAUCAUUUCUACUUAGUUAGAUUUUAUUUAUCUUUUAAAUUUGCAAUUAAUAUUUGUUUGACACAAUUAUUUUAAUAUGGCCUGAAUUUGGGAUCUUUGCUCAAAAGAAUCAUUUGGACAGCUCCUUCCUCAAGAUUUCAAAAGAGAAGGAGGAGUUCCUGUCAUGACUCAGUAGUAACGAACCUGACUAAUAACCAUGAGGACAUGGGUUCAUUCCCUGUCCUCAUUCAGUGGGUUAAGCAUCCAGCGUUGCCGCGAGCUCUGGUGUAGGUCACAGACGCAGCUCAGAUCUCACGUUGCUGUGGCUGUGGUGUAGGCUGGCAGCUGUAAAUCCAAUUUGACCCCCAGCCUGGGAACUUCCUUAUGCCGCAGGUGCAGCCCUAAAAGAAAGUAAGAGCAUUUAUUUUCAGGAAAAAAAGAAAAAACUACAAAAUAAAAAACAAAGGGAGAGCUGAGUGAUCUUAAUUAGGAGCUGGCCGACUGCUGUCUUUAAUUCUCUAAGAGCCUCUGCUUGUUUAUCAAAAUCCAUUAGUUUAUCUGAUUGCAUAGUUAAGAGUUCUAGCAUGGUGUCUCUCAAAAGUGAAUACUCUGAAAACCAGAAGACUAGAGUGGCUAAUAAUGUAUUGUAUCCGGAAGUUCACUAAGAAAAUAAAUUGCAGGUGUGCUCACCACACACAGAUACAAACGCAUAUAAUGGUAACUGCGGGAGGAGAGGAUUAUGUCAACGAGCUUGACUGUAGUGGGAAUGAUUUCACUAUGUAUAUGUAUAUUAAAGCAUGUGUAUACCUGAAAUAUGUAGUUUUAUUAAAAGGUAAAAUCAAUAAAAUAUACUCAUUAUAAGACAAAACCAAAACAACUAACAAUGCAUAUAACAAUAAUGCAUGUUGGAGUUCCCGUCGUGGCUCAGUGGUUUACGAGUCUGACAGAACCAUGAGGUUGCAGGUUCAAUCCCUGUCCUCACUCAGUGGGUUAAGGAUCGGGCAUUGCCACGAGCUGUGGUGUAGGUCGCAGACGCCGCAGCUGGGAUCCCACAUUGCUGUGGCUCUGGCUAUAGCUUCGAUUGGACCCCUAGCCUGGGAACCUCCAUAUGCCACAGCAGCGGCUCUAGAAAAGGCAAGACAAAAACAAAAACAAAAAACAAAAAAAACCCGCAGAAAACAAUAAUGCAUGUCAUCUAUUAAGUGCUCAAUAAAUUAUGGACAUUUUUCCAUGUUAGUACCUUUCUCCAUAGUAAUUUUUGGAUACUGCCUAGGAUACCAUUGUAUGAUAAAACGUAAUUUUUAAUCAUUUCCUUCUUUAUGAACAUUGAGGUUAUUUGUAGUUUUUCAUUUUAGUAACACGGUUGCCAUGAAUAUCCUUGUACUUUCUGUCACCGUUUAUCCUGUAAUCAUUUUAGGAUCAAUUCCUAGGCUCUUACUUGCUCGAGCAGAGGCUAUGAGUAUUUGACUAGCAUUAUGUAUGUUGGGAAGGGACCAUUCCCUCAUACAGUCGCCAAUUCAGGGUAUCAGCAGUCCUCCCCUCCCCCAUCUCUGCCCACUUGAUUGAUUGGGGGGGAAUCUCUUUUUCCUUUUAUUAGCAUUUAAAAAAUUAUAGUUAAGGUUGACGACCAUGUUUUUCGCCUUUUCCGAGUAGUUCUUGGUAAGGAAAAGCAUGGAGGGCCCGGAAGAGAGCGAAAGGUCUUGAAGGACUUGACACUGUUUCACAGAAUCCUCCUGGUCUUUGAGGAAAUGUUGCCAAGUUCCUUAAAGUAGAUAAAACUGAUCAAAACAGUGCUGCUGUGGAGAUUAGAUAAGGCGCCCUCACGCUUAGUCUACUACCCAGGGCUGAAACCAAAGACUCAUUGCACCUGAAAGCCCCCUGAGAUUCAACAGGCUCAGGCUUGUUUGGGACAAACACAAAGAAAAACUAUAGAUUCCUGACUGCUUUCUGUGAUGCAGGGAGAAGGAGAGGGCAAAAGAGGCUUUUUUCUGGACGGAAUUCCCGUCGUGGCUCAGUGGUUAGCGAAUCCAACUGGGAACCAUAAGGUUGCGGGUUCGAUCCCUGGCCCCACUUAGUGGGUUAAGGAUCCGGCGUUGCCGUGAGCUGUGGUGUAAGUUGCUGAGCUGUGGUGUAAGUUGCAGACGCGGCUCAGAUUCCACAUUGCUGUGGUUGUGCCGUAGCAGCUCCAAUUCGACCCCUACUUAGCCAUGUGCCGUGGGAGAGGCCCAAGAAAUGGCAAAAAAAAAAAAAAAAAAAAAAAAAA
rnacentral:lncRNA from 1 species